UGUGGAGGCCCAAAGACGAGGCUGUGAGCUAGCCCUGGUCUCCCCCGGAGUUCGAGGGUGUAGUCGCGGUUCCUUGCGGGGGUGACGCCGGCGUGGUUGCAGCAUGGUCCUGCCUUUGACCUUUCACAUUUGGUGUUCUUCGGAAAGUUCUGUCUACGUUCAUCACCACCCCAAAUCGACGCGUAAUCCCAGUAUCCUCUGGCUAACUCCAACUUUUUUUCAGGCAUCUCUGCCGUAAACCUUGUGUGAAUGAGGAGAAGAAAUCAUGUCUCUCUACAGUGUCUGGUGCCCAGCGUGGGGUGACAGAGAAGCCCAGCUCACUCUGGAGCCUGCAAAUGAGAUCUGGAACAGCUGACAAAAAGCAGGUGAAGGGCAAAAAUUCUUACCAACCUCAGCUCAGCAGCAUCUCUCUGCAGUACCUGGGUCAAGAGACAAGAGUUUUAGCAGAUAAUGCCAGUUUCUGGAGUUGGUUGUGCUGUUUGCAUUCCCACUAGCAGCUGCAGAGAGUUCAGGUUGCUCCAUGUUCUCGCCAACACUUGAGAUUGUCAGGCGUCUCACCUUAGCUGU